rnacentral:lncRNA from 1 species
UGGGGUUUUUAAAUACAAAAUAGGAAGUACUAUAACAAACGACUCGGCAAUCUUAACUAGAUUGACAGACUCGAUACUACUAUACAAGACUAAAAAUUAAAAGACAACAUAAGAUAGAGUAAAAAAAAUAAAAAGUUUCCUCUGGCAGUCAUGCAUGCAAUGGUCUUGACUAGAAUGGUUCUCGGGUAUUUGUCAUGCUCAAACUCUAGCAAGUUGCUCCAUACCUGAAUAGGAAAAAUAAGAUCAAAUAGAGUUAGUGACUCGAGACACUAUGUAAAACCACAGCAUCUCCUAUUAGACACAUGCAAGACAAGAUUAAGGCUAUUUUUGCAAAAUGACCUACGUAGCCAAAGGUGGAUAUUAAUUCAAACUCAACAAGAUCGACCUCUAAGACAUGGAAAUACCUCACUAAGGCUUAUAUAGAUUCAACUCCCAAUAAUCAUGGCCCAAAAAAUUAUUUUGCAAAAUUGACUCAUUUCGCAAAAAACAACCGAUAUGGCCAGAAGGGGCUAAAAAGGCAAACUCAAAAAUGAAGGACCUUAGAGUAAUAUAACACCUAGUUGUGGACUCAAAAUCCUAAAAAAUGGGUUAUUGAACAACUUUUGUGAAAAUGACCCCAUUUUGCAAGAAUGACUGAUGUGGCCAAAAAGUGGCUAGACAUGCAAGAUAUGGCUAAGACCCAGCAACGCUAAGAACCUAAGGAACUAGGAAGACCGGAGCCUAUGUGGGUUAUCUACAUAUCCUGUCCCGAAAGACGAGAAUCAGGUUCGUGUAGUUCGGAAAGACUGGAUGUGGAAGAAAGCUUAAAAAAUGACACUAAUUUGGAAAAAAUAUAUGUUUGUCUUUUUGAAAAAUGAUGGAAAAUGCAAAAUCUUUUUGGAUUUUUUUUUCUUUUUUUUUUUUUGAAUUUUUGAAAAAUGAUGGGAAAGGGUAAAAUCUUUUGGAUUUUCUUUUUUUUUGUGAAAAUGACCCCAUUUUGCAAGAAUGACUGAUGUGGCCAAAAAGUGGCUAGACAUGCAAGAUAUGGCUAAGACCCAGCAACGCUAAGAACCUAAGGAACUAGGAAGACCGGAGCCUAUGUGGGUUAUCUACAUAUCCUGUCCCGAAAGACGAGAAUCAGGUUCGUGUAGUUCGGAAAGACUGGAUGUGGAAGAAAGCUUAAAAAAUGACACUAAUUUGGAAAAAAUAUAUGUUUGUCUUUUUGAAAAAUGAUGGAAAAUGCAAAAUCUUUUUGGAUUUUUUUUUUUUUUUUUUUUUUUGAAUUUUUGAAAAAUGAUGGGAAAGUGUAAAAUCUUUUGGAUUUUCUUUUUUUUUUUUGAAUUUUUGGAAAAUAAUGAAAAAUGUAAAUUCUUUUUGGAUUUUUUAUUUUUUUAUUUUUUGGAAAUGAUGAUAAAGUGUAAAACUUUUUUAGAUUUUUCAUUUUCAUUUUUUUAUCUUUUUAUUUGAAAAAGCAGUGAAAAAAAAUAUUACCGGGCCCUACUAGUUUCAUUAUUCACCUUUCCUUCCCAAACAUCGGACCGCCUAAUGACCAUUUUUACCCUCAAGGAUGUAGCAUAUAGGGAUGAUUAAAUGUCUUUUUGGGCCACGGACCCAUUUUAACAAAAUUUGAAUAGGCUUCCUGUAGAGGGACUGGAUGCCUAGGACCGAGCCCUGCUAGGUCUAAAUGACAUGAUGCAAAUAAAAAUGACCUAAAAGCUGACCUAAGUUUGGGGUUCACUAACAAGACAAUUCGGGGGAGCCUAUGGUCGAUGGUGGCUGCUCAAGCAUUCCACCCACUCCAUACGUCCGAAGCCCCUCCCUCCACCUCCUAAAUUAAGGGUGACUCAAUAAAGAGUUCGUGCACGCGAAGCGUACUUCGAGACUUGUUGUAGAAAGAAGACCCAUUGUUAUGCAAAUGGUGACAGUUUAUACAGCAGUAGCACAUAAAGGAAACUGUAAACAAAUAAGAAACUAGAAAAUAAUAAAAAGACAUAAAUAAAAUAAAAACCAAAUAAAGCAAAUAGAACACAUAAAAAUCUCAACCUAAUAUACUAAAAGCCAACAAGAUCAAGUACUAGCUCGAACCUGCAAUCUCCAACGGAGUCACUAGAGAUAUCACACCCCUUUUUAACAACAAACCUCACUAAACCCUCUUAAAAUAAUAAAAAGUUUUUAAUAAAGCAUGGAAAGGGUUUUUUCAAUUUUGAAAAGUGACAAAGAAUUUUGUUUAAAAAGAAAUAACUCAGAGUCGCCACCUGAUAUUUGUUUCGGUGCGCUAGGUCACCAUUUUUUUCUAAAAAAAAUAAGUUUCCUUUCAAAACACUUGAGACUCUAAAAUUAAGUUUGCACCAGAGAUUUGAGUAAGGAGGUUGAUUUGACUCGGGGAGAAGGUGUUAGGCACUCCCCAAUUUCCGUAACUAGUACGAUUUCAUACUUGAUCUAGUUGACUUUGAAAUAUUCAAUUGAGGUAAAACACAAAAAUAAAAUAAACACACAAGAGGAUAGAGGUCGUCCCCACCUAAAAAAGAUAAAAUACAUAAAGGAAAAUAUUAAAGUUCUAUUCUACGCUUCCUCAUAUCAUCCAAUCUCUGGUCUUCAUUUACAUGUACUUUGGGCAUACCCCAAAUAAAAUAUAUACAAAUUCUUCGGGGCAUUCCCGGAUAAAUUUAACUAAGGAAACGACUUGUUGCCUCAAAACUAAUAAAAAUCCUAAGGCUUGCCUACCCAAGUGUAGUCGGCCUAAGCAUGCUACUAACGGAUUCAAAAUAAGAUAAACAAAACAAAUAAGAGCAAGAUAACUACUUAAGGUCCAAUUUCUUUCUUAUUUUUUUUAUCAAUUUAACUUGAUUCCAGACUCUUUUCGCAAGCUCCCAACUCACAAUCAAGCAAGAAUCAUCCCAACUAAAAACGUUUUUAAGAUCAAACAGAAUGCUAAAACCUAAGUUCUAGAGAUGCCACCAUUUCAGACCAUCAAAGAUCGAUGAAUACGACAAGCAUGGGUGCAUUUAAUUUAAGAACAAAACGAGCUAAUAAAAUGAAAAGCAGAACAAAGAUCCAAGUUUAAGAGUUCAAGAAAUAAACCUCGAUAUGAAUCCAAUUUUGAUGUAACUGAAUUUAACGACGGACAGAACCUCGAAUGGAAAUUGAUUGGACCAACAGAAAUUUCUCAACCAAACACUCGACUACUCUUAUGAGAAUUUAACAAAAAGUAUCUUCAUCCUCACAUUUGAAAGUUUCUGGUACAGCAAUGAUAGAUAAUCAGACAAAGACACGAUCGGAAACCGCGAAACGGAAAACUUCAACGAGACUCAAGCUCGACUGGAAAUUUGUGUUCUGGGUUGUUUGGACUGAAAAUUGCUGAAAAUACACCACCCAACAGAAAUGUCGGAUCUGUCGCCGACGAAAUAGAAACUAAAACCAAAGGAAAAUUAUAAGAAUAGCAACUCCCUUUCUCUCCAUUUGUGAGCGUGUGUGUGUUUGCCGGUUUUAUUGGUGAAGGUCCACGGCUUCCGAGUUGACUAGUUCUCUGCUGGAACUCGCUUUUUCGGCAAACUGCUAGAGGGGGAAGAAGAAGAACACAACAUCAACAGGGGAAGGGUGGCUGAAGGAUGGAUGCUUGUGGGCUGGUUUCCGGCGAGUUGGUAAAUGGGAGUGGUAUGAAGUCCGACGACUUGUGUGAAGGAGACGGAGGUGGGGGUGUGCUAGUGAGUUACAAAGCAAUAGAGGUGGCGGCUGUCUGGUUUAGUAUUUUUAGAAGAAGGUGGACGGCUGGUUUUUAGUUUUGUAGGGUUUUUUGGUAGUGUAGUAUAUGGUUCAAGAAGGAGACUGCUAGGUUUAUGUCUUG